UGAGGAAUAUUGGCAAUGCCCGCAAGGGUGACCCAGCAACGCCGCGUGGAGGAUGAAUGUCGUAAGAUUGUAAACUCCUGUUAGAGGGGAAGAAUAGUACCGGUUGGACCGGUAUAUGACUGUACCCUCAGAGAAAGCCCCGGCUAACUACGUGCCAGCAGCCGCGGUAAUACGUAGGGGGCAAGCGUUGUCCGGAUUUACUGGGUGUAAAGGGCGCGCAGGCGGGAUAAAAAGUCAGUGGUGAAAGCCUACAGCUUAACUGUAGAACUGCCUUUGAUACUUUUAUUCUUGAGUUCGGGAGAGAGAGACGGAAUUCCAGGUGUAGUGGUGAAAUACGUAGAUAUCUGGAAGAACACCAGUUGCGAAGGCGGUCUCUUGGUCCGACACUGACGCUGAGGCGCGAAAGCGUGGGGAGCAAACA
rnacentral:rRNA from 1 species